rnacentral:rRNA from 1 species
UACGUAGGUGGCAAGCGUUAUCCGGAAUUAUUGGGCGUAAAGCGCGUGUAGGCGGUCUGAAUAGUCUGCUGUGAAAGCGCCUGGCUUAACCGGGCGAGGUCGGCGGAAACUCUCAGACUGGAGGCCGGUAGAGGGGGGUGGAAUUCCCGGUGUAGUGGUGAAAUGCGUAGAGAUCGGGAGGAACACCUGUGGCGAAGGCGGCCCCCUGGGCCGCGCCUGACGCUGAGACGCGAAGGCUAGGGGAGCGAACGGG